rnacentral:tRNA from 1 species
GCGCCCGUAGCUCAGUUGGUAGAGCAGCUCCCUCUUAAGGAGACUGUCGAGGGUUCGAAUCCUUCCGGGCGCA